ensembl:lncRNA CCDC54-AS1 CCDC54 antisense RNA 1
AGGAUGAGGAACAUGGUGUUGCAGUUCAAACCAGUUCCAGCCAAAAUGGACUCUAGUCACAAACAAAUAGUAAUAACAAUCCAAACUUGUGGCUGAAUAGAGUUCUGAAGUUUUGAGAAAGAGUUGGGAUCCAGAGAACCUUCCCCUUCUGAGCAGCAAAACCAAAUAAAGCAGUUCUCAGGAUACAAAGACAAGACUGAGGAAGAUCCUAAUAAGGUGUUGCAAGGUGACACAGGACAAACUUUGUCCAAAGGAAAUUGAUCUGACAAGAACUUCUGGACUUGUCAGUUCUUAGGGCUGACUGGUCUAUCCUCUUUCUAUUGACUUUGGCUUACUAGACUCAAGCAGAAAGUGACAAGGGAAGAAAAGGAUACAAACAGAAGCAAGUUUCCAAGAACAAGGUUUACAUCAGGAAGAGCCAAUCAAAGAUCAUAUCUGGAGGACUGCUGCAAAGUUGUGAUAAAUGACCAAAUAGUAUUUUUAUAGAAGGUGGAAUGAAUGACAGACUAAAGAUUUCAGCUGAUUAAAGAAAUUAUGGAGUGCAUCAUUCUCAGUUUAUAUUGAACUGGGGUUCCUGAGAAAUUCCUCCUUAUAAAUUUACAUGGAAAUUAUAAUUUUUACUAGUUGAUUUCAGUUAAUUAGCCUACUGAA